rnacentral:misc_RNA from 1 species
AACGCACCUUGCGCUCCUUGGUAUUCCGAGGAGCAUGCCUGUUUGAGUGUCAUUUAAUUCUCAAUCUCUACAAACUUGUGUUGUUAGCAGAUUGGAGGUGGGGGUUUUGUGGGUGUAUCCAUUAUAUCCACUCCCCUGAAAAUCAUUAGCUGGAAUGCCUUUGCAAAACCAACUAUCAGUAUGAUAAUUAUCUACUCUGAUGUUGUUGUGAAGGGAAUCUGCUUUCAAACCGUCGUUCCGACACUUUGAAUCCAUUUGACCUCAAAUCAGGUAGGACUACCCGCUGAACUUAA